GUGGUGAGGACUCCAAGGGGCCACUGAGACGGGGCCACCCAGAUACCCCUUGUGGACUAUUCUCUGGGUAGCCAGGAACAUGGGGUCCCUCCUGCUUGCCUCUGCGUCCUCUGUAGCCUCUUCCCCAGGUCAGGGCUCCUAAGAACUGGCCAAACCUGGGCUGAUGGGUGGCCAUCAGGAAAGGAUAUUAUAGACAGAGCUGACUAUAUAGACCGGAGUAUGGACACGUAUGCUAGGUUGAAUAGUGUCCCCCCAAAUCCAUGUCCACCUGGAAACCCAGAGUACGACCUUAUUUAGAAAUAGAGCCUUUGCAGAUAUAAUUAGUUAAGUCAAAAAUGAGGUCUUGGGCUUCCCUGGUGGCACAGUGGUUGGGAGUCCGCCUGCCGAUGCAGGGGACGCGGGUUCGUGCCCCGGUCCGGGAGGAUCCCGCAUGCCAUGGAGCAGCUGGGCCUGUGGGCCAUGACUGCUGGGCCUGCACGUUUGGAGCCUGUGCUCCGCAACGGGAGAGGCCACAGCAGUGAGAGGCCCGCGUACCGCAAAAAAAAAAAAAAAAAAAAAAAAAAGGGGGGGAGAGGAGAGGAAGCCACCCCAGAGAAAUGAAACUCAGUCUUCAAGGGGGCUCCAGUCUGCGGUAUGAGUGCCCAUACACCGGGUGCUGUGCUGUUAGGAGAGAAACAGAAUGUGCUCCUUGCCCUCAAGGGCCUCAUGGUCCAGUCCAGUCAGGUCACACCCAAUCCUCUGAUGUUCCUCUCUCCGCCCCUGCACCUGUGACCCAGGGACCCACCUGCAGACGGCACCUCGUGCUGUCCCCAUCUGAGCUCACCCUUUCUUCGCCUGGCCCCAUGUCCCAUCCCCCUCAGCUACUCAGGAAAGAGAUCCACGGAGAAUGUGGUCACGGGAGGAACACGGGACAGAAUGGACGGGGAGCCACCAACCUUUCUGUGUUCCUUCACGGAGCGUGGAACCCCUUUAGACAUCAGCCCCGUUUGCUCCUUGCCCCAGGUUGCUGUUGCUGUCAUUCCCACCUCCCAUAAGAGGGCAGUGAAGCUCAGGGAGGCCACGGUGACACAGCCAGAAACAAAUGGAAGGGUGACUGGCAUCCAGGGGUGUCCGUGGAGUUGGGAGGAGGGAGCUGAAUCAGUAUUCUACCCCUUUUUUGCCAGCACGGCUGGAGAGGAGUCAUCUGACUCUGCUAAGCCCCUGGUUCAUGUCUAUAACAUGUUAAUAACAGCGUGACCUCCCUGGGAGUGGGAGGUGAGAGCUGAAUGAUAAAAUAUAUUCAGAAGGCUCAACCCGUUCCUGGGAAAAUGGGAAGCAAACAUGUAUUUGGGAGGCGGUGCAGGACUUGAAAUUCUGUGUUCCUCCUGCUUGAGCAAACAGGUUUUCUGUUGUCCGUUCUCUGCCAUCCCUUCCCCAGGCACAGGGCACCUCAUCAACUUACAGUUUAAUAGACCCUUCCAGAAGGCUGUGUCUUCACCCCGAGAUCCAGGGCCGGGCCAGGGCAGCUCUUGGGGGUGGGCAGGAAGGCAGGAGCCCACUCCAGGUCGCUGGCAGGGUGGGUCCUUGGUGGGGCAGCUCCACAGGCUUCCUGAGUUCGCAAAUAGCACACGCUAAGAGCGAGGCUGGGUUUCUGGAACUGUGAGUCCCUCUUACCCAGGAAACCCCGAACUGCGGCUCAAUGAGGCUCUAAGCAACUCUUGUGCUUUCAGACACGGGAAAAGGGUGCUUUCAGCAGGCGUCUUACUUCCAAAGGCUUCAUCUUAAAGGCCAGGGCCUCUUAGUUCUGAACACAAGAGAGAAACACAGUGCUUGGGUGAAGGGAGGAUUGGAUUGUUAAGCCAGCUGCAGAAUUUGCAGGAGGGAAAAAAAAUCUUGGAAAGAGAUUUGGUCUGUUUUCCUCUCUACACCAACAAGGCACAAGGAUUUGACUCCCCGAAGGAACAGUACUCUGAUUUUGAGACUUGCAAUUUUUAAGCAUGAUAUUUAUUUUCAUUCAAGUAAUGGAAGAGUCAUAAAUAUGCAGCUUCAGAGGAUCCAGAACUAAAGACCCACUUUCCCCUUGAAAGGUCCCCACUAACCCCUGCCUGCCUGCGGCAGUGGAAGCUGUCAUCUGGUCCCCAGUUCCCACUGCUGUCUCUGAACUUGGGACAUAUCAGGACCUGGAUCACCCAAUCCAGUCCUCAUUUGCACUAAGUUCUGUGGAAAAGAAAGGAAAAAAAAACGUUUAUUUACUUAGUGCAGCAGUUUUCUUACGUUUGCAAAUGGAGGAAUCACUGGGAGGCACUAGUAAAAAUGCAGAUUUCCAGGCACAGUCCCAGAGAUUCGAAUUCAGUUGUGCUGGGUAGAGCCUGGCAAGCUGCAUUCUUUACAAAUGCCCCUUCCCCAUCCCACCUCCAGAUGAUUCUUAAGUUUGCUGUCCCCAGGGCCACACUUAGCACCUACUAAAGACCAGACGCUCCACAAGAUACUUCUUCUAGCUCCCAAAUUAUUGAUUUCAGGAAUUGUUGUGUUUAUAUCCAUAAAGUCUUAUUACAAAAUAGUCGUCUCUGAUUUUACAGAUGGAGAAGUUAAAGCUCAGGGAUUCGGUAACUCCCUCCCCCCCACACAGGGAGGAAGUUGUAUGUUCACUAGUGUCUCUACAGUUCCUAAAGCCACACGCUAUUUCAUCUCCUUGAAAAAUAGAGGUGCCUCUUUCCCCACCUGUCAGUAGAUAUGGCAGUAAGUGCUUUAGUAAGAGUAGGUGCUAAUAAGAGUAGAUACUAAUCGCAGAGGGUUAAAUAAGGUAAUAUUAGGUUUAACCAUAUGAAAUAGUUGACAUUCAACCAUUAAUAACCUACAAAAGCAGCAGUUUCAAUUAUGGGUCUAAUAAUUGUAAAGUGCUGGGCAGAGUACCUGGCAUAAAGUAAUAGCUCAGUAAAUAUCUAGUAUUAUUAGAAACUGUUGUGGGUAGAACUGUGUUCCCCAAAAGAUAGGUUGACAUCCUAGUCUCUGGUACCUGUGAAUGUGACCUCAUUUGGAAAUAGUCUUUGAAGAUGUAAUUAGUUAAGUCACAAUGAGGUCAUACUGGAUUAGAGUGGACCCUCGAUGCAAUGGUUGGUGACCGUAUAAGGAGAGAGACUUAGAUACACAGACACCCAGAGGGGAGACAGCCAUGUGACUACAGGAGCAGAAAUUGAAAUGACGUAGCUACAAGCCGAGGAAGCCAAGGAUUUCCAAUAACCACCAGAAGCUAGAAGAGACAUGAAAGAUGAAUCCCCUAGAGCUUUCGAAGGGAAAUGGCCCUGCCAACACCCUGAUUUCACACUAGUGGCCUCCAGAACUGUGGGAGAAUCAAUUCUUAUUGUUUGAAGCCCCCAAGUCCAUGGCCAUUUGUCACAGUAGCCCAAGGAGACUAACACGGAAGCUUCAUCCCUCUCGUCGCCUUUGUGGUCACCACCACUACCCCAUUCAUCACCAUCAUCUUCUAGAGGACAAGACAGGGCAGCAGACUCAGAUCCUAGAACGAAAAUAUGAUGCUGGCAUGCUAAUUGCGUGAGACAACUCGGCCCGCAGACAGCCACAAAGCACAAAAACAAACAAAACAAAACUCAGAGAAGAAACGAGAAUGGUGUUUUCCUGGCGUCUACAAGAAGCGCUUUAUUUUUCCUCUAGAUUGCUUUUCUAAAAAAACAAAACGACAAAAAACAAAACUGAAACAUUUAAAGGAACAAGACAAAAAACUUCAGGUGAUACUAUUCAAGCACGUUCUUUUAUUAAGUGUAGGAUGAGAGGAACAAGAGGACACGGAAGCAGGAUGCUGAACACUGAGGGGCUGUGAACCUCUGCGAUGGCGUUGUUUCCCAAAACUGUGAGUGAAGAAUGGAGGGAACAUCUUUUUAUCCCCCAUCCCCAAAAUAUCCUGUAAUGGCGCAAGACUUCCUUUCCUGCCUGUCAAGGUAUCUAGGGAAUGAUUUACAAAAUGUGUUUGUUAUAAUCGCUAAAGAAUCUUUUGUAUAGCUUUGGCCGGGGAGUUGGUGGACCAGUAGUUGGUGGACCAGUACUUGGCGACCCAGUAAUUGUGUCUAUCCCACCCACUUCUAAGUGUCACCUCCGUCUCGGCUGGAACAAGGUUCAGAGGGUCCUCUCUCCAGUAGUUGACAAGGCCACUCCGACUUGAUCAGGCUGAAGUUAUCUCCUGGAUCAGUGCAGUGAAGGAUAAACACUGGCCUUUUUCUUCCCUAAAUAAGAAAAAGGCAGCUCCUGGCUACUGUGUGGCCGUGGAGGCUGUGCCUGGGGCGGGGGAGUGGGGCACCAGGCUGUCCUACACCGUGAGAAUUGCUCGUGCUUCUACCGUGAGACCAAGAACCUACCGAGCAGCUAAGCUUCACUUUCAAACAGGCCAUCACCAGGGGAGCAGAGGGACCCAGGCCUGCCCCAGCCCCAGAAAAGACGUAUUAUCCCUUUACCCCCAGAACUCCCUGCUUCCCAGUGGUACCUAACAUUUUUCGCUCUGUUGUGACGACUCUUAUAUCCUUGACUCUAGCGGAUCUGGGUCGGAGGGACAUGGAAGCCCUGGCAUGAUAAGUCGGAAGGGGGCCAGCGCUGGCAGUCACGCCCGAGCGCUCGCGCGUGGUGGGCGUGUGCGCUGAUCCUUGCCGAGCGCCCACUUAGCCGGACGGGCUGCCAAGUCCUUCCUGGAUCAGCCUCUCGCUGAGCGCCCACAGGGCCCGGGCCGUGUCUUCGCUCUGGGCUUCCGUCGAGGGCAUGCAGCGGCAGCAGCUGUUGAAGUACAUCCCUCCCAGACCCUCCAGUUCUGGAGCGGCAGCACAGUAGACGGUGGUGGCGGCUCCUUGUUGCUGGAAAGCAAAGAACAAAGACCACGGAACGUUAUUUUUUUAAGAAAAGAGGUGAUGGAAUGAUUUUCUUCUAACUGGGAAUGAGCAAGAGUCUCUCCCCGCCUGGUUCAGAUGCAUCUGGAUCUCAGCACGGCCGAGGGUACCGAACUCAAAGCACGUGACUGUAAAAGGUACGAUGGGACCAUCCAGGGAAAACGAGUUCAUAAACUCCGCUCGUAAAGCUAAUGUGACUUUUUACACCUCAUAUAGGAAAAGGCUUUGAACACAGACUACACGUCUAUCAGUUAAUCACAUCAGAUGUCUCUUCUGAGCAACGAGAAGAUGGGAUCCUUUUGAACACGCAAGAACAAAUUCAUCCAACUCCCUCACUUCUCAACGCAUAAUGUCAUUUGACACUGAGAAGUUUCUAGAAACUUCUCUCUGAACUAAAGCAACCACUCUAAUCAUGGCCCAUCAGGUAGAAAACCAAGCGGGACUGGUGCCAGAUUUUUCCUUAUUCGUUGCCCAUGGGGCUGCUAGAGGAAGGGUUUGUGAUACUGUGUUAAAAUGUUUGAGACGCACGUAAACACAUGUUCCCCACCAUCACACAUGCCUCAGGCAGACACAAGACACGUUUGUGAAUUUAUCCUUACCCUGGAAACCUUUUCAGAAGUAUUGUAUUCAGCCCAUACUUGCAGUGGGACAGUGGCUUGGGGGGCCAUGUCCUCCCAGCCCCCUUCAAAAUGCAAGUUGCAAUGAGUGCAAUUGAUCACUUCCGAUUGACCUUUUGAGUAGCAGUUGGCGCUGUGGCUAGGGACGUGUGUGCCAAUGGGGCACCGUAUCAUCCGGGCUGACAGAAUACUGUCAGGGAUGCUGGAAAGAGGGCAAGAAAUCACUUUGCUUUGCGAAAGCCAUAAUUAAAAAUAAUAGGCUGGUGUUCAUAGGGGGACACCGUCGGCACGGCUCUCAUUUGAAACCAAUAACAGUUUAUCUGGCGUCUUAUGAUUAUUUAUGUGCAUCACAGCCCUUGCUGCAUCAACUAAUUAUCAGUUGACAGAGAAGGGGGCUGGGAGGCAGAGGAGAAUGGAGAAAGAUAACUGGGGAUAAGGUCAACGUUAGGAAAACAUUAAGGACGUCUAAUUGCGAGGGAAGUGAGUUUCCAUCCCCACCCAAAAGCUUACUCUUUUUCUCCCCCUACAGGGUUUAAACUGGUGCCCAAGCAGAGAGCUUACUGGAGAGCAUCCCCCCCCCAUAGGGUUUGGUUUGCAUUCACAGUGGUUGUUUCGUACAACCCUCGGGAGCCAAGGUCAUUCUGAGAAUCAAGGUCUCAAGGUAUUAUGAUUGUAGGGAAGUUCUAUAAAGUAGACUUGGGGUUUUUGUUGCAGGGGGGCGGGGGGACGUUUAUUGCAUUUGUCUGAAAACCAUAUGGUCAAAUACAUUGAAGUGACAGGCUUGUGCAGAGGAGGGUGGCGUGGCAUGGGAGUGGGAUACCUGAGUUCUCAUAAUAACGGGCUGCUUGACUGUAUUGGACAAGGCCCUUUGGCCCAAAAAUUGUACCCCUGACGUGACUUCUCUUUAACGAAAUAGUGAUCGGUGUGUGAUUUCCCCAGCCCUGUCACCCAUGCCCACUCCCCAAACAAACAGCCAAUUGUUUCUUUUCUUGGGUUCACCUGUUUCUUUUCAAUUUGUUGGCUCAGGUAUAAUGGACAUGAGCCCAUGUCAUCCAAAUUUCCUUUCACUGAAUUAUUAUUCCUAAUAACCCUUAGCUUAGCACAUUUAUCUAACGAAGUUCCAGUGGCUUAUCUGGCGCCCCUGCAUCCCAUGUGGGGAAAAAAGGCAAGCAAAGCACCUCUAAAGACAAAUGGAAGAAUAGAGAUGCUCAUCUCGCCAACCCAAGCAAAUAUCAUCUUGGCCUCAAUUCUUAGCAGAUGUCAGGUGGAGAUGGUGUUUUUGAAUAAUUUUCUGGAUAUCUGUUUUCCAUUUCCAUUGUACUUUGCAACUGCCCAAACACCAAAGAGUGGUCAGGCCCCUUGGCAUCAGCUCUCAAGUGGUGGGAGAAGCCAGUCAGCUCAUCCCUAAAUCCAGGCUCCCUCAACCCCACCCCAGAGCGGUUAUAGUAUCAGCAUUCAUACAUCACAACAAACUGGCCCCCUCACAGCUCCACCGAUCCUGAGAAAAGAUCAAAGUUGGCCACUUGGGAAAGCAACAAACGGAAUUCUUCCAAACCCAGUGUAAUCUUUUGCCACUCUGACAUUCUAAAAUGAUACCAUGCUGCACUCUCUUGCAUUGUUGGAAUGGUAUUUUUGCAGAGAAAUUCUGCGCUUACGUUGAUUCAGAAUCGAGUUGAUGAGGGAGCCGGGGGGCAUGCAUUUUCCCUCCACGGAAUGUGAAAGCAAUCGCAGUCGACCUCAUUUCAUGUAAACCGCCACUUGGCUACCACGCUGACAACCGUAAAGUUGAGUAAAGCCCAAUCUUUUAUCAAGAGCUGGCUUUGAUUCCUUUGCCACCAGGCUCAGGGUGAUGCACAAUUUAAAUCAUCACCAGCGGUGCUGACUCUGUAGAACACAUACAGCAGGGCAUCUGAAAGCAAAGACCACCUUUUUCCGCUCCGAAGAUCAACUGUGCACAUUUGGCAAAGAGAGACUGGACGGUGAAGUAGUGACAGCAUCUUUUCGUCCCAAGCCCACGACCCUUUCGGCUUCUCAGGGAAUGCUCUUUUCAGCUGCACCUGUGGCGGCCUCUGAGUGACAUCUUUAUAUGAUCAGAUGGGAUGACGGUUUAAUAACAAGGUCUAAUUUGGGGUCAUCAGCUUUUGGCCUAUCACCAGGGUGAGAUGGAGCCGCGUGAGGAAAUCUCAUUAGUAAAGAAGCUGGUUCUGCUGAUACAAGAGAAAACAUUUUUAAACUGAUAGAAGAAAAAUUUUUAAAGAGCACUUUCAUCGCCAUCAGAUGACUUUCAUGCCACUCUGGUGGGGGGGGCAUCAGUCCGUAAUCCAGAAAAAAAUGAAAGAGCCCUAUCGAGGAAAUGAUGUUACCAACUCUGAUACAGAAUAUCUGCCUUGCUGGUUGGCACCGCUGCGUACUGAUCCGUCGUGGUACGAUAACAGCCAUAUCUUGACAUAUAUAAACACUAGCAGGAGCUGUGGGUUCCCCUCAGUGAUUUUUUUAAGAACAAAUUCACGGGAAGCCUGGAGGUUGCAUGCCGUUGCUGAUCAUGGGAACCGGGGUGGCGACUCUGUCCUGUAGCAGCGGCAGUGAGUGAGGGCGUGGAUCGCACGGGGCUGAGGAGUUCUGGGAAGCCCAGUAGAAUCUUGAAUCACGCCUGAAUGCCAUUUCCGAUUUAGUCAAACAUUUGCAAGCUGCCAAAGGAGAACUACGCCAUCAAUCUUUAUAGUGUCUGUACAAUUACCCAGGAUUCUAGUUUGGGAUUAAGUUAAGAGCAUCUGGGUAAUAAGGGGGUUCAUCAUUCUCUUUCAGAAAUCAUUUGCCGGAUGAGCGGCACAGUUUUCAACUACAGAAAGGUGGGAGUUAGAAAGCAGUUACUGUUCAUUUAUCGUUGGGGCCCUGCGGUCUAAAUCAUCCAUCCUUCCGAAGCCCUUGGUUGGGAUGAAACAGUGACGUAGCCACGUUUCAACAACAUUUACUUGAUAACCACUGGCCCUCAAUGUGCAGCUGUCCACACAGACUCCAAAUGAAUAUUCACUCUUUGCAAGAGAAAGGUACAGGGGUUUCUGAUCAACAAUCUAGGCUUAAGGAAAAAUCCACCCACAUGUUAAUAUUUGUAAUGCAUUGGUAGGUACGCUAAUAUAACUUACGUUUUAAUAAGGACACGUUACACAAUUAUGUUUAGUUUUCAGGUUUCUCUACUUUUAAAAUGCAUGCUUCGUUAAAAAAGAAAGGAUAAAUUCCUGUCUUAAAAUACAUUUGACUCUGAGACACCUAAAAAAGUAGCCACACUACCAUGGGAUAUCUGUAUAGUCAAUGAUUUUGAGAGUAGCAGAUGUUUUCCUACAGACACUGUGAGAAAGGGAAG